UUUCUACUCCCUCCGUCCGAAAAUACUUGUCAUCAAAAUGGAUAAAAAGAGAUGUAUCUAAAACUAAAAUAUGUCUAGAUACAUUUCCUUUUAUUCAUUUUGAUGACAAGUAUUCCGAGACGGAGGGAGUAUUUG
rfam:Triticum aestivum genome assembly, contig: Triticum_aestivum_CS42_TGACv1_scaffold_149669_2BS